rnacentral:rRNA from 1 species
AGAAUCAACGCUGGCGGCGUGCCUAACACAUGCAAGUCGAACGAGAAAGUGGAGCAAUCCAUGAGUAAAGUGGCGCACGGGUGAGUAACACGUGACUAACCUACCCUUGAGUGGGGGAUAACCUAAGAGAAAUCUGGGCUAAUACCGCAUAAUACCUUCGGGGUCAAAGGGAGCAAUUCGCUUAAGGAGGGGGUCGCGGCCGAUUAGUUAGUUGGCGGGGUAAUGGCCCACCAAGGCGAUGAUCGGUA